GCACUUUGUGUUCUGACACCUUUCUAUUAUGGACAGCAUUAAGUUUUUUUAUAGAAAUUUGAGGUACAGUAGCUAUUCUGUGUGAUUGGGCCAGAUGGGCAAGCCUUUGCUCCCCACGUGCAUCAAUGAACCUUGGGCACCCAUGACUGUGAUGUCGGUUUCUUGCACCACUUUAAGUAGGUACUACUACUAACCACUGCAUACUGGGAACACUGCACAAGACUUGCUGUUUUGGAC